rnacentral:rRNA from 1 species
GGAAUAUUGGACAAUGGGCGCAAGCCUGAUCCAGCCAUGCCGCGUGCAGGAUGACGGUCCUAUGGAUUGUAAACUGCUUUUGCACAGGAAGAAACAACUCUACGUGUAGAGUCUUGACGGUACUGUGAGAAUAAGGAUCGGCUAACUCCGUGCCAGCAGCCGCGGUAAUACGGAGGAUCCAAGCGUUAUCCGGAAUCAUUGGGUUUAAAGGGUCCGUAGGCGGUUUAGUAAGUCAGUGGUGAAAGCCCAUCGCUCAACGGUGGAACGGCCAUUGAUACUGCUAGACUUGAAUUAUAAGGAAGUAACUAGAAUAUGUAGUGUAGCGGUGAAAUGCUUAGAGAUUACAUGGAAUACCAAUUGCGAAGGCAGGUUACUACUUAUGGAUUGACGCUGAUGGACGAAAGCGUGGGUAGCGAACAGGAUUAGAUACCCGAG